rnacentral:lncRNA from 1 species
UUUCCUUUCGCUUCGCUUUAUAAUGUCAUAGUGCUCACUGCGCAACUCUCCCUCAGUGUGUGUCGGCACUAUGUGGAAUGCAUUUUCUACAUUUAAGUGCACAAAACAUUUGUCUUUAUGUACAACAGUGUGUAAAACCUGUACGUAUGCAUAAGAUAACGUGUACAUUUAUGUAAUGUGUGUAUAUCCCUGAAAUUAAUAUAAUAUCAGAGGUAGAUGGAUUCAGUGUAAAUACUAUUUUAUCUGUAGUGAAAUCGAGUGACUCUCACUGGCACAGCUUUUGAAGGAAAUGGGUAAAGUCCACACUCUGCAUUAGGCUUAAGUUUGUCUCUAUUGAUGAGGCAGAAUGCAUGACAUAAACUAUUCCACAUGUUCACACAUCUAGGUAGCCUGGUUGCAAAUCUGUUUGUGCUGUAUAUGACACUGGCUAUACAGUUGGCUAUUCAGGCCAGACAGAUCUGGGAACAGGUUAUCUAUGAUUUAAGACCUCUGGUCUUUUGAUUUAGGCCCAGGAGCUUCAUAUGAAUUGAAAGUAUGGCAUUAUUUGGAAUGAGUUUGGUUUUGUUGGUUUGCUAUUCGAUAGCUAGACAUUUUUGCAUAUUCUUCUCCAAAAUAACAGAAAAUAUUUUUUUAAUUGAUUGUUCGAUAAUCUUAUUUUAAUUUAGAGUAGAAAGGGGGUUAUUUAUUUAGGUGUCAGCCAAAGCUUUUCUGUACGUUUGCUCCACCUGAUAAUAAAGUCUAGUUGGUGACUUAGAAAAAGAGAGGAUAUCGCACGCGAGCCACCUCAGGAGCAAUACAAUACAAUUCAACCAGCAGCCAUGUGCUCUUUACAGACAGGUUUCCCACCUAUGCUAAGUAAAAUUUUAGGGCAAAACAUAAAACCCUUCGAAACAUUGAUUUAUCACUUCAUGGAUACAGCAGUGUCAAUGGUGUUACUAUUAUGAUUUGUCACACAAGUUUAUUUAUUUGUCAGAUAUAUUUUUUUACAUUGAUUUUAUCAUCAGUUAUAGACAGUACAUUACACUUUAAUGAAUGUUUUUAGUUCAGAACAACUCCACAAAGGUGGACUUUAAAUCUCGCCAUACUCACCCAAAUGCCUCUUUUGGGUAGAGAUAAAAUAGUUAUCCUUAUGGGCCUAUAUGAAAGCAGAACACUAAGACAAUCCUACACACAACUAAUGGAGCACUUUUUAUGCAGAGAUACGCAUAUUGAUUGUUUAACUGUUUAGAGUGUAAAAGUGUAAAAUAGCAUAAGGGUUUACUUGAAAAGUCAGGUUAGUUUGGUGAGAACUAGUCUGUAUUUGUUUGUGUCAUUGACUAUGGGAGGGACAGCGACUACAUAUCUGGUAAUGACAGAGGACAUUGCCAUCAAAAUCUCAAGCCCUACACUAUUGUGCUAAAAGUACUAAGGCAACUUGUGAUUUGAUGAAUGGAUAUAUUUUUAUUGAAUAACUCAUCUCAAGUGUUCAGCGUUGCUUUCAUUGGAUUUGACUUGACUUGGUCUUCCCAGUCCCUGUUGCACAAGAAGCCUCGUGUGUAUGAGUGUUUGUUGUUCACCUGUGUAGGUGCAGGUCAUCUUCAACAUUAGCUAAUUAUUUUGAAUGUACCACAGGUGUAUACUGAUGUCAUCCGUUUGUUUGUUUUCAUUCAAGUAUAUCUGCUUCAGCUGUGUGUUGCAGGCAAUGGAGAAAUAUAUCUUUAUUUAUUGUUUGAUCAUUGAAAUAAAUAUCUUUAAAUAUGGAUAUCUCCCUUUACUCCCACUCUAUAUUCUUGAAUAUAGGCAUGAAUGUUACAAAUGAUCACCAAAUUAACACCAAAGUAUGGAUUGUUUCCAGCACAGUGAGUACUACAUGAUUAUUCCUCCUGUAAUUGUACUUACAGCGGCAGUUUAUAAUUUCAUAUAUUUAAAACUUGUGUGUGAGAGAAUUGUAUUGUCUGAAGAGAUAGCCUCGAAUUGUACACAGCGUCUCCUCUCACUCUAUCUUGCUCAUUGCAUGUGGCUGUGACCUCACACCGAUUGGCAGUACACCC